rnacentral:misc_RNA from 1 species
AACAUCUGUCGGAGCACGCGAAAUACAUCAAAAACAAAACGGCGUCGCAUCUUUUUGACCUCGAUAAACCGUGUGCCUGUCUCUUUCUCAUCUUCGUUUUUGCGGCUGCCUCUGCGCUCGUGCUCAAACAGAAGAUGUCUUACUACAUUGGCUACUCGCAGCGAGAGAUCUACAAAAAGCGGUGCAACGAGCUGGGCUGUGCGUGCAACUCCGCAGUUGUGCGGCUGCUCUCUGAUGUGCCAGGUGAGGUGACCGGCCUUACCUCACUCGACCUAUCCCGCAACUUUCUAGGCAGAAAAGGCAUUAUUCCACUUUUGGACGUCAUCGAGAGCGCGGUGCAGCUGCGCAGUCUCGACCUGCGUGACCAGCAGCUCAGCAAUGACACUGUGGAGGUGAUUUGUGCACGCCUUAGACGGCACCCGUCCCUGCUAAAGCUGAACCUGUCAAACAACCCCAUCACCCUCGCCAUCUCCUCAGCGCUGCUCGAGCUGGCGAAUCAGAACUCUGUUCUGCAGUACAUCUACCUGGAGAACACACUCGUGCGCCCCUCCAUGGUGACGGCGAUUGAGGUGCAGCUCGAGAAGAACCGUGCACUCGCCAGAACCGCGUUGGCGGAGUCGCAGGUGGCUGACGGUAAGCCGCGUCGAAUUUUCGUCAUCGCUUCUUCAGUCGCCGGUACGUGUGCGGCCGGUUCCAAGCCUGGUAGUCCUAGAGCCGAGCAGGCUGUUUUGUCCACUCCCGUCGGUAGCGGCAAGUCUGCUGCUGCGAUGCUCCUCCGUAAUGCUGAUGCAGCAUCUACCGCAGCGGGUAGCACCGGGUGGCGCCAGCGCAUCCCAGCACACGAGCUGCAGCACGUCUUUCGUUCCUACACUCACGCCGUAGCCGACUUUUUCUUCGACGUGAAUCCCACGAAGGAUGUAUGGGCGUGGUGCGAGGAGCGACACUACGUGUUUGACGACGACCAGUUCAACUCGCACAACGACCAUUUGCACAGGACGGCGCGACACACAUACGGCAUCGCGGGUUGGCGGCGCGUCGGAGAGCUAUACCCUGAUGCCACGCUCUUUGGGUGGGAGGGUGCGACAAGGAAUGCGAACGACACGGCACGGCAGGCUGCACCCAGCAUCAACGGCGCUGGUGCACAGGACACCUGCGAAGAUCCGGUAGAAGACAUGAUGGGCGCCGAAAGGGCGGCUGCAGGUGAUGGCCGCCGCGGCAGCGACGCGGAAUAUUUGCACGCCACCUCGGUCUUCUGGCAGCUCCCUAAAGAUGUCCCGGAAGGGUUCACCUGGACCUUCACAGCACUCAUGGCGAGCGUGAAGGAGACCCAGUUGCUGCACGCCCUUUUCUGCGCAUCCGCGACAGGGCUUCCAGACGGCGGGACGCGAGUGCAGCGAGGCACUGCUUGCCCGGGCAUCUACACCAUGCGAAUGUUUGUCGAGGGCCAAUGGCGCUACCUUCUCGUGGAUGACUUUUUGCCGGUGGACAAGUACGGCCGGCUAAUCUUCACGAAGCCCUCGAUGGACAACAGGGCGUUCUGGCCAUGCGUCUUGGAGAAGAUGCUGGCAAAGUUGCACGGUGGUUACCACGUCUUAGACGCGCACUUCGACAAACACCACGCCGGCAUCGACAGCCCGAACAUACGCAAGCCCAUCGCCUGGCUGUUCCUGAGCAAAGAGAACCUCCAGCGGCCGAACGACGGUGCUGGUGGCGGCGGCGACACUGAUUGGGGCACCGUACCAGAUGACACGCUCGUCUGUGAAGAGGUGGCCAAGAACUGCGGCCGUGUCAUGUCACGCCUCACGAGGGGAAUCUACGACAGCUAUCAGCUACACCCGGUGGAGCAGGCGCCGACGACGCUGUUCGAGGGACUGCACAAGGUUCUCGGGGUACCUCUGUGCAGCGCAGACGCGCGAGAGGGAUACGGCAACCCACCGUGUGGUCGGCGAACGGCGUCUGUGAAGCGGCCGUUUCUCGGCAGUCACAGCGUUUCUGUGGACUCCCCGCCGGCGCGUUCGGCGUGUCGUCGUAUCUGACUGCCGCCAUUGCUUUUAGCAGAGACGCGUCGCGGACGUUUAGCGGCAUUCACCCACGCUGCGGCUACCAAAUUGUGCGCGUGUGCCACGCGGGUGGAGUACGCCUGCUGGAGCUGCGCAAUCCUUGGUGCGGCACGGAGAAAUGGACGGGCGACUGGGCGGACGAUUCGCCACUGUGGAAGAAGCAUCCUGAGAUUGCUGAGCUACUGCUGACGGGCGCCCACGGUGGCAGACGCACGCAGAGGGGCGGCAGCAACCUCCUGCAGCUAUCCAAUUCGGCUUCGACGUUGGCGAACACGCCACUGAAGCGCUCGCUGCUGACAGCAUUGGGCGAGAUGGGAGGGUCACUGGCGGAAGCGUCGUCAAUGCCGCCUGUGUGCUCCGUGACGAGGCCCUCCAGGCGCGCAGCGGCGACGCGGCCGCACGUUCAAAAGUCUGCCUUCUGGAUCUCCUACACGGACUUCCUGCAGAACUUUGAGUGGGUGCAUACGUGUCGCGUCUUUGGUGACGAGUUUCACCGGCAGGACGUGCACGGCACUUGGACACGCGAUUCGGCCGGCGGCAAUGCACGUGAGCCGUCGUGGUACAGGAACCCGCACUAUAGGCUCUCCUUCCCCUACCGGACGACGGUUCAUGUGCAGCUGACACGGCGUGAUCCGCGUCUUCGUCGGACCCGCGGCGCCGUGCGCGGGCAGGACGACGGCGUUGGUGGUAUUGGCUUGCAGCUCCUGCGUGACACGCACUACCCGCUGCACUGUCCUACGAUCAGUCGAGGACAGGCGGAAAUUAGCACAGCGGCUUCCUUGCCCAUGAGCUCCGUGGAAGACAUCGUCGCCGGCAAUCAAGAGGAUGACGGCAGCAUAAAGGAGGCACUGGGUUGCAGGGAUCUUGGCGCCAGCGACCGUGGUUGCGGCUGCGCGUUUUCCUCUGUUCUCUCCUCCGAGGAGCGCCAAAGUGGCGAUUGCUUGUCGCUGGGAAUCUUGCUCGACGCCGGCGCGCAGUACUGGAUUGUGCCGACCACAUACGCGCCGAGGGUGCUGGACGAGUUCGACCUUUCCGUCACCUCGACCUCGCCGUUUGUAUUGCAAGAGGCACAGGAGUCGCAGUAUUGGGAUCAGCGAACGGUACCGCCAGAGCUGCUCUGCUGCGCUUCCGCUAGCGCACAGGAGGUGGAGCGGAACGAGGGUGAGGUGGCCAUCGUUUUCGACUCGAAGUCCCGCGUCUCGAGAGAUGCGAACCUUCUGCUCCAAAAACAAAAGCAAAGAAGCAGCAGGCGCCUUGCGCGCAACUCCGUCAGUCAUUCCAUCGAGACCGAAUCGGCCACGGUGUCUAGCGGGGCGUGUCGCAUCGUCGUCGCUGCGAUAAAGCACCUCGCGGCGGCGGGUGUGGACAUGAGGAACUUUGGGGUCGACGAGGCGUACGAGCAGCGUUCGGUGCCGCCGGAGGACGUGCACGGCACACCAACUCUGCAACUCGCCAUCGUGACGGGCGAGGUUGACGGUGAAGGCCGCCCCUCCCGCACCGUCGGCGAAAUCGAUCCUCACGCUGCGCACACGUACGUGCUCGACCGUCACACCGUCCUAGAGACGGCCAUUACGCCUGCUCCUCACAAUAGUGUCGAGCACCACACUGCCAUAUGCACCCUUCACCCGGCGGGGGCACGCGUGCACGUGGACUACCGGGUAUGGUGCGCCGCGCCGCUGCUCGAGGUGAUGAGUGUGCCGGCGUGGCCAAAGCAGGAGGUGACGCUGUGCUGGGAUGACGAGAAGGGCAGUGGCAACUACUACGAAGGCACCGGACACCCGCAGGUGGAGCUGUCGAGGCUGCGGCCGUUUCAGCGAUUCGCCAUAUCGCUGCGGAUGGUUGACUACGACACCAUCGAGCCAGCUAUCAUGUUCUCUGUAAUCUGCAACGAUCGGCAGCGAGGAGAGCCGGUAGAGGGGCAACUGGGGAACAGAGCCGUGCUUUCGCAAUCCGCGUACGUCAACGGCACCUAUGUGAAGGCCAGCUUCGACCUCGAUGAGCGCCCGCCAGAGUCGUUGAUCAUCAUUUCAUGCCUGCAGCCGACCGGCUCAAAAGGGAGGUGUGUUAUGACCAUCUCGUCCGAUUCGGCAGAUUAUCGCGUUCACCCGUUGCGCGUGGCUGCGGCAUACCCACUGUAGCUAUCCACUUCACAGUGCCCACCACCCCCCUCCUCUCCCCCAGACAUGGGCGAACCAAGGGAAGGAGGGGAGGCAGGUCUCACUCACAUGUGCGGACUUCCUGUGGUUUACCCUUGAGGCCUAACUACAACUACGAUGGAGGAGCUGUCGCGCGCACACCUGCAUUGGCGCAUAUGCAUGCGCAUGCACACGCAGGGCGUGCAGUCGUCGUCCCCGCACACUGCUUCCCGUCUGUGCCUGCUUGUGCAUAUGUCUGGUGAUUGCUGAGGCAGACGUGCUCGUGUGCCUGUGUUUUGUCUCCUCAUACGCUACCCACAGGCCCUCGACAGCAUAUUCGAAAAGAGCCCGUAAUGCGCAUGGGUUGGAGAACCGUGUAGGUCGUGGCAGAGCGAGAGGGGAAGGCACUGAAGUGGCAGCAGCAAGGGGAAGAGGGGCUCAGAGAGAGCGGAGGUAAGUGGCCCGCCCACGUAUGUGCUUGAUUAGCGACUGCCGUGCUUUGCUGUGUGCUGCGACGUCACCCUCGUUCCUUCUGUGCCUAUUGCGCUCCGUCACUUUCACGUGGACUUCCUUGACCCAUCUCUUCCUGCCUUCCUAUUCUUCUCUGUCCGUGCUUUCCACCCUCCCUGUCGCCCCCCUCCCCCCUUUCCUCCCUCCCCACCACUCCGGUGCGGCGGUGCGAUGCCUGAAUGCUGCUUUCUCUCUCUGGUUUCUUUUUUGGGGGUGGGGGUGGGGCGAGGGGAGGGGCUGCUUCCUUCCGCUAUCUUGGAACCAAUGGAAUUCUUCUUACCUUCCUCGCCCCCUUCUCUGUUCAUGUUAGUUCAGAGUGUCAUGGUAACACCGCCAACAAUAGCGCGGGGAGAUGAGAGGGCACGUGUGUCUUUUGGGGUGCCCUUUCUUUCUUGCUUGAAUAAUUCAUGUAUGCUUUCUCUACGUAUCUUCGCUGUCCCACCGCUCUCCCUCCUGCCACUUCGCACCAGCGCUCUUCGGCACGGUAGCGACGCGAAGGGGUGGGAGGGGCAGCAGCCGAUGUGUGCUUUUGUUUUGCUCUUCGCUUCCCCUUGGCCUUCUGUUUUGUGUAUGUGCGCCUGUCGGCAUGUGUGUAUUGAUUCUCCGCCUGUUGCUCUCCGCCUCCACUGCGUGAUGACCACAUCAACAACAGCAACAAAACCAUCGCCAGGCUAUUCCAGCAGAAGGAGAGUGCCGUCUUCGCUGUGCUCUUCCGGGACUUC